rnacentral:rRNA from 1 species
UGAGGAAUUUUGCUCAAUGGGCGAAAGCCUGAAGCAGCUACGCCGCGUGAAUGAUGAAGUUCUUCGGAAUGUAAAGUUCUUUUGGCAGGGAAAAUAAUGAUUGUACCUGCAGAAUAAGCACCGGCAAACUAUGUGCCAGCAGCCGCGGUAAUACAUAGGGUGCAAGCGUUGUCCGGAAUUACUGGGCGUAAAGAGCGUGUAGGCGGCUUUUUAAGUCGUAACCUUAAAUACAGGGGCUCAACCCCUGUCAGGGUUCGAUACUGAUAAGCUAGAGAUUGGGAGAGGAAAGUGGAACUCACAGUGUAGCGGUGAAAUGCGUAGAUAUUGUGAGGAACACCCGUGGCGAAGGCGACUUUCUGGACCAUUUCUGACGCUGAGACGCGAAAGCGUGGGGAGCAAACAGG